rnacentral:lncRNA from 1 species
AUGGCUAUUUGAUAUAAUUUUUUGGAGCAAUUGCUUAUAUACCUUUAAAAAAAUUUUGGCUUUCUAAUUUACCGUUCUUAGAAAGUUAAUAUUGAAAAUAUUUUUUUUACGUUCCGACCUAUUUCAAAUAUAUUUCUAGAGGUAAAUUCUGUUAAUAAACUGUUAGUAAUAGUUGUUAUUUAUAUGAAAUUACUAUUUUGCGCUUUCAAAUAUAUCAUUUUAUCAUCACCGACUUUUCUUAUUUGUCCUUAAGUUAGAGGUACAAAAAGUAUUUUGAUUUUUAAUCUUUUCAAAUAUACCCUUCUACCAUCACCAACAUUUCUUAUUUGCCCUUAAGUUAAGGACAAAAGAAACAUUUUAUUUUAUUUUUUUAAACUCUAGUAGAUAUUUAACUCACGUUUAACCCACGUUAACUUAACGGACGGUAACUACAGAAAUAUUUUGGAAUAACGGAGGAAUAUAUGAGGGGUGUAUUGGAAAGGAAAAAAAAAAGUAGAAAUAAAUGAGAUAUUUUCGAAGUUUUGAGAGGUAUAUAUAUAGGUAAUUAUUCCUAUUUUUUUUUGCUUCUACGUCGAGCUACAAUUAUCUAUAUUCAGAUAACA